rnacentral:rRNA from 1 species
UACGAAGGGGGCUAGCGUUGCUCGGAAUCACUGGGCGUAAAGCGCACGUAGGCGGCUUUUUAAGUCAGGGGUGAAAUCCUGGAGCUCAACUCCAGAACUGCCUUUGAUACUGAGAAGCUUGAGUCCGGGAGAGGUGAGUGGAACUGCGAGUGUAGAGGUGAAAUUCGUAGAUAUUCGCAAGAACACCAGUGGCGAAGGCGGCUCCCUGGCCCGGUACUGACGCUGAGGUGCGAAAGCGUGGGGAGCAAACAGG